UACGAGGGGGCAAGCGUUGUUCGGAAUUUAUUGGGCGUAAAGGGCGCGUAGGCGGUUUUGACAAGUCUGAUGUGAAAUCAUAUGGGCUCAACCCAUAGCCUGCAUUAGAAACUGUCGGGGCUUGAGUAUGGGGAGAGGUGAGUGGAAUUUCCGGUGUAGCGGUGAAAUGCGUAGAUAUCGGAAGGGAACGACCUGUGGCGGAAAGCGGCUCACUGGACCAUAACUGACGCUGAGGCGGCGAAAAGCGGUGGGGAGCAAACA
rnacentral:rRNA from 1 species